rnacentral:rRNA from 1 species
GAUGAACGCUGGCGGCGUGCCUAACACAUGCAAGUCGAGCGAGGCGCUUAAAUUAGCUUUCUUCGGAAUGACGAUUUUUGUGACUGAGCGGCGGACGGGUGAGUAACGCGUGGGUAACCUGCCUCAUACAGGGGGAUAACAGUUAGAAAUGACUGCUAAUACCGCAUAAGACCCCAGCUUCGCAUGAAGCGGUGGUAAGAACUCCGGUGGUAUGAGAUGGACCCGCGUCUGAUUAGCUAGUUGGUAAGGUAACGGCUUACCAAGGCGACGAUCAGUAGCCGACCUGAGAGGGUGACCGGCCACAUUGGGACUGAGACACGGCCCAGACUCCUACGGGAGGCAGCAGUGGGGAAUAUUGCACAAUGGGGGAAACCCUGAUGCAGCGACGCCGCGUGAAGGAUGAAGUAUUUCGGUAUGUAAACUUCUAUCAGCAGGGAAGAAAGUGACGGUACCUGACUAAGAAGCCCCGGCUAACUACGUG